AUUGAACGCUGGCGGAAUGCUUUACACAUGCAAGUCGAACGGCAGCACGGGAGCUUGCUCCUGGUGGCGAGUGGCGAACGGGUGAGUAAUGCGUCGGAACGUACCGAGUAAUGGGGGAUAACGCACCGAAAGGUGUGCUAAUACCGCAUACGCCCUGAGGGGGAAAGUGGGGGAUCGUAAGACCUCACGUUAUUCGAGCGGCCGACGUCUGAUUAGCUAGUUGGUGGGGUAAUGGCUCACCAAGGCGACGAUCAGUAGCGGGUCUGAGAGGAUGAUCCGCCACACUGGGACUGAGACACAGCCCAGACUCCUACGGGAGGCAGCAGUGGGGAAUUUUGGACAAUGGGGGCAACCCUGAUCCAGCCAUUCCGCGUGAGUGAAGAAGGCCUCGGUUGGUAAAGACGUCUUUCUAGCUGGAACGGACGGUAGGUGCGUCUAACAUAGCGCG
rnacentral:rRNA from 1 species